UCGUGGAUUCUUGAUCAGUUCCCCAAGUGGUUUCCCAUUGAUCGUGAAACUUAUCUGGACCGUCUUUCUCUAAGGUACAUAAUCUAAUGUCCAAAACCAAGAUCAACAAAACUGAAAGGUUUAUUACAGCUGCAUAUAUGAUCAAAUUGCAGUCAAACAAAUACAACGAAAUUGAUAAAUUCUUGAUGCAGGUAUGAGAGGGAAGGUGAACCAAACCUGCUGUGUCCGGUAGAUAUCUUUGUCAGUACUGUGGAUCCCUUGAAGGAACCUCCUCUGGUUACAGCCAAUACGGUUCUAUCUAUUUUAGCAAUGGACUACCCAGUUAACAAAAUCUCAUGUUACAUAUCUGAUGAUGGUGCUUCAAUGCUUACCUUUGAAGCGCUAUCAGAAACAGCAGAAUUUGCUCGGAAGUGGG
rnacentral:lncRNA from 1 species